rfam:Lactobacillus oligofermentans DSM 15707 = LMG 22743 strain DSM 15707 NODE_85, whole genome shotgun sequence.
GCGGAUGUGGCGGAACUGGCAGACGCGCAAGAUUUAGGUUCUUGUAUCUUUUAGAUGUGGGGGUUCGAUUCCCUUCAUCCGCA